UGACGCUGAGGCUCGAAAGCGUGGGGGAGCAAACAGGAUUAGAUACCCUGGUAGUCCACGCCGUGAACGAUGAAUACUAGGUGUUGGGGCCCACAGGGCUUCGGUGCCGCAGCUAACGCAAUAAGUAUUCCACCUGGGGAGUACGUUCGCAAGAAUGAAACUCAAAGGAAUUGACGGGGACCCGCACAAGCGGUGGAGCAUGUGGUUUAAUUAGAAGCAACGCGAAGAACCUUACCGAGUCUUGACAUCCCGAUGACCAACUAUGUAAUGUAGUCUCUCUUCGGAGCAUCGGUGACAGGUGGUGCAUGGUUGUCGUCAGCUCGUGUCGUGAGAUGUUGGGUUAAGUCCCGCAACGAGCGCAACCCUUGUCCUUAGUAGCCAGCAGUAAGAUGGGCACUCUAGGGAGACUGCCAGGGUGAACCUGGAGGAAGGUGGGGAUGACGUCAAAUCAUCAUGCCCCUUAUGACUUGGGCUACACACGUGCUACAAUGGCGUAAACAAAGAGAAGCGAAGUCGUGAGUCUAAGCAAAUCUCAAAAAUAACGUCUCAGUUCGGAUUGUAGUCUGCAACUCGACUACAUGAAGCUGGAAUCGCUAGUAAU
rnacentral:rRNA from 1 species